GCGCGCGUCCUGGGCGGUUCGGCUCAACAGACGCUGGUCUGCAGGCGCUGGGGCGCUACGCUGCGCUUGUUGCGAGUGCUGGGGCUGAGACGAGUCGGCGCGGCAGCUGACCGGGCAGCCGACCGCCGCCCUCUCGCAGUGCGACUCGCGGAGGCUGCGUCAGGGUCCCCAGGAGGCGGCCCGGGGCGUGAAUGCUCUGGGGGCACAGCCAGGCCUGCAUGGGCCGGAGGAACCGGAGCUCCGGCGUCGCGAUUCUUACAGAAAUCUGUUAAUUCUACUUUUUGAGCACUAUGAAUAACCACAUAUCUUCAAAGCCAUCGACCAUGAAGCUAAAACAUACCGUCAACCCCAUUCUUUUAUAUUUCAUACAUUUUAUAAUAUCACUUUAUACUAUUUUAACAUAUAUUCCAUAUUAUUUUUUGUCUGAGUCAAGACAAGAAAAAUCAAACCAAAUUAAAGCGAAGCCUGUAAAUUCAAAACCUGAGUCUGCGUACAGGUCUGUUAACAGCCUGGAUGGCUUGGCCUCAGUAUUAUACCCUGGAUGUGAUACACUAGAUAAAGUUUUUAUGCACGCGAAAAACAAAUUCAAGGACAAGAGACUCCUGGGAACACGUGAAAUUUUAAAUGAGGAAGAUGAAGUGCAGCCAAACGGAAAAAUUUUUAAAAAGGUUAUUCUUGGGAACUAUAAUUGGCUGUCCUUUGAAGAUGUCUUCGUUAGCGCUUUUAAUUUUGGAAAUGGCUUACAGAUAUUGGGUCAGAAACCAAAGACCAACAUUGCCAUCUUCUGUGAAACCAGGGCUGAGUGGAUGAUCGCUGCACAGGCCUGCUUCAUGUAUAAUUUUCAGCUUGUUACGUUGUAUGCUACUCUAGGGGGUCCAGCAAUUGUUCAUGGAUUAAAUGAAACAGAGGUGACCAACAUCAUUACUAGUAAAGAACUCUUACAAACAAAAUUGAAGGAUAUAGUUUCUCUAGUCCCAUGCCUGCGGCACAUCAUCACUGUGGACGGUAAACCACCGACCUGGUCUGAGUUCCCCAAGGGCGUCAUCGUGCACACCAUGGCAGCAGUGCAGGCUCUGGGAGCCAAGGCCAGCGUGGAAAACAAACCUCAUAGCAAACCAGCGCCCUCAGAUAUUGCAGUAAUCAUGUACACAAGUGGAUCCACAGGACUUCCAAAGGGGGUCAUGAUCUCCCAUAGUAACCUUAUUGCUGGUAUAACUGGGAUGGCGGAAAGGAUUCCAGACCUGGGGGAGAAGGAUGUUUACAUCGGGUAUCUGCCUCUGGCCCAUGUUUUAGAAUUAAGUGCUGAGCUUGUUUGUCUUUCUCAUGGAUGCUGCAUUGGCUACUCUUCACCACAGACUUUAGCAGAUCAGUCUUCAAAAAUAAAAAAAGGAAGUAAAGGGGAUACAUCCAUAUUGAAACCAACACUGAUGGCAGCUGUCCCGGAAAUCAUGGAUCGGAUCUACAAAAAUGUCAUGAAUAAAGUGAAUGGAAUGAGUAAUUUUCAACGCACACUGUUUAUUCUCGCCUAUAAUUACAAAAUGGAACAGAUUUCAAAAGGGCAUGGUACUCCGCUGUGUGAUAGCUUUAUUUUCCGGAAAGUUCGAAGCUUGCUAGGUGGAAAUAUUCGGCUUCUCUUGUGUGGGGGUGCUCCACUUUCUGCAACCACACAGAGAUUCAUGAACAUCUGUUUUUGUUGUCCUGUCGGUCAGGGAUAUGGACUCACUGAAUCUUGUGGGGCUGGAACAAUUACAGAAGUGUGGGACUACAAUACUGGCAGAGUGGGAGCGCCAUUAGUUUGCUGUGAAAUCAAAUUAAAGAACUGGGAGGAAGGUGGAUACUUUAAUACUGACAAACCACAUCCUAGGGGUGAAAUUAUUAUUGGUGGCCAAAAUGUGACAAUGGGAUACUACAAAAAUGAAGCAAAAACAAAAGCUGAUUUUUUUGAAGAUGAAAAUGGACAGAGGUGGCUCUGUACUGGAGAUAUUGGAGAGUUUGACCCUGAUGGUUGUUUGAAGAUUAUUGAUCGUAAAAAGGACCUUGUAAAACUGCAGGCAGGAGAAUAUGUUUCUCUUGGGAAAGUGGAGGCAGCUUUGAAGAAUCUCUCACUAAUAGAUAACAUUUGUGCAUAUGCAAACAGUUAUCAUUCUUACGUCAUUGGAUUUGUUGUGCCGAAUCAAAAGGAGCUAACGGAACUAGCACGAAAGAGGGGACUUCGAGGGACUUGGGAGGAGCUGUGUAACAGCUGCGAAAUGGAGAAUGAGGUGCUCAAAGUGCUCUCUGAAGCUGCUGUUUCAGGAGUCUAAGAAAAUACCCGAGAUGUGGAUUGAGAGUUCCUGCACGACCUUCAUUGUGACGUUGUUUACAGUAAUACCCAAACAGGAGCAGUGAUGUUGGCACUAAGGAUAAGAGUGUGAGCUUUGGGUUCGACAUGCCUGGAGGGAAUCACAGAGAACUAGCUGUGUGACCUUGAGCAAGUUAAUGGAUAACUCUGUGCCGGCCUCUAUCUCUGCAAAUGGAGGCUUGGAGGGAUGGCCAGUCAAGGACUUCUCUCUUCCCUGGACAGAAGUGGAUGGGCGAUCCAAGCUACACUGGUAAGAUGUUCUCUUCUUAGCAUGUGGAUAAGAAUUCCAGAGAAUUCGGUUAAACUCAUGUAUCCUGAUGGCAGUGCCCUGAAUGGAGUGUUCCCUGGUUGCUGCUACCUGGCUCUCCAGAGCUUUCCUGAUUCCUGGAUUUUCUGAAAUUUUGGCCACUCUGCUAUUCCUGCAUUUCUGUGAAUUAUUCUGUAGCCUUUCAGUAUUUUUUUUUUUUUCUUUUUACUUAAUGUAGCAGGAGUCAAUUUCUGUUCCUUGUAACCAACAAACCUUGAUGGAUUUAGGCAUUUUCCAGCUUCCCAGCCCCUAGCAGUUUUUUUUAAGAUGUCCUGGCUGGUCAGUAGCUGAUGUCAGAAUUCUUUUGCAUGUUUACUUUAGAGAAUGGAAUCCCCUACACUUUCCUUAUGAGCAGACCAUGCGGUUUCACUACUUGAGUCAUAAACUGAGAUGCCUAGAAAUGGAAUGUUCCUCUUUAUAACUCAGUAUCACGUUUUGCUAUGCAUGACCCCCUAAGAGGUUCCACUCAGAGGGUGUUGUGAAGAUUUGAAGAUAAUACCAACCAUAUUGUAGACUCUUAAGAACAAAGAUAUGGUCUGAUUUUAAAAAAAUGAAGAUUCUUAAUUUUAUAGCUGUAGCCAGUGGCUGUCUUGUGGGUUUUUCCCCCCACUUACUUCAUCUGCUAUUUUUCUUGCAAUAAAAGUAAAUUUUUCUCUUUCCCUUCCCACCUCCUUUUAUUGGGAUAAACUGUUGUGGUGGUGGUGCCUUCCGUCUUUCUUUCUUAGCCUCCACUAACAUUUUCAUUAGCUUCAUCACUUGCUACUUACUUGGAACACUCCAAGAUUUGCUUCUGACUACUGCUAAUUGAACUAUACUCCUCAUUUUUUCUCAUGAAUCCUGGGGAGAGUAGCAUUUUCUCCCCGAGGGAAAAUGAAAACAUGACAGAAGACAGAGGUAGCUAUUAUGUAAACAAGAGAGGAAUCACAGAACAGAUUUCAGUGGCCUUUGUGCAAAGGGAAAGCGGAAGUGAAGAGCAAUUCAAGUCCAGGCCCGGCCACGUGGAUUAGCCUUUUUCAAUGAUACGAUAGCACAGCAUGAGAAAAAAGGAGGGCCUGACUCAAGAGGAAGUGCUCCAUGUGGGAUGGCUGAGCGAGUAGUUGCUCUUACAAUCCUCAGUGGACUCAGGAUGAAUGGGGAAAAGAAGGCCCUAAAGAAUCUAAAUAUGGUACAAAAUCAAAAGAAUCCAAGAAUGAAUCUGAUUGUCAGCAGUUUUAUUCUUUGUCAUGGGUUGAUAAUAAGUGCAUUUAGCAGAUAGAAAAUAAGCAUUGGCUUGGGGAAAAAAAUCUGCCCUUCUGAUUUCAAGGCAAGCACCAUAUCCUUGGCUGCUUUGAAAAUUACCUAUCAAGUCUCACUCCUCUCUGCUCUUCCCAUCAUGGAUCUUAGCCAAGCUGGUGUAAUUUUCGAAUGGUCUUUCUUCUCUGGUUUCUUCCCUCUUCAAGCUCUUCUUUCUGCUCCCAGAAUAAACAAGACCUGGCCGUGUCAACCACCUGCUUAAACUUUUGAGGAUGCUCCUUUGUCCACAGAUGGAGUUGGACUCUUUACCAUGGCAAUAAGACCCUACCCGUGUGGACCUCCACAUGCCUUCCCAGCCUGUCUCCUGCUACCUGCUUCCACCCGUCACCCCACACACAUACUAACCUGCUUGCCAUUCCACAAACACAUCAAGCUCUUUAAGGCCUCCGUGACUUUGCUCAUGCUUCUUCCAUUUUGGUUUUCUCCUCAAGGUUUGCCUCCUCCAGAGAAAUCUCUUAAAGACCAAUAUUAAAGGUCAAAAUCUCUGCCCAGCAGAAUCUGUUGCCUUUUCCUCUGUGCACAAUUUUCUUUCUAUACAUACCACACAUAUAGCACAUACAUUAUAUCAGUGCAGCCCAAUAGAAAUAUAACAUGAACCAGAUACUUAAUUAAAAAUUUCCAGUAGCCACAUUAAAACAGUAAAAAAAAAACCAUGCAAAGUUAAUUUUAAUAAUAUGUUUUAUUUAACUCAAUAUAUCUAAAAAUAUCAUUUCAAUAUGUAAUCAACGUAAAAAUUACCAAUAAGAUAUAAUAAAUUCUUUGAAAUCUGGUGUAUGUUAUAUACUUACAGCAUACCUCAGUUUAGCCUAAAUACAUUACAAGUGCUCAAUAGCGACAUUUGGCUAGGACUACCAUGUGGGACAGUCACAUUAUUUUAUAGGUCAUUGUUUUCUUGUCUUUCUUCUGGUUCAGUGAUGUGUUUCUCAAGAGCUAAGCCUUAUUCACCUUUUGAUGUCUGCUAUAUAGUCCUAUGUGGGGAACAUAGAGCUGAGUGAAUGUGUGCUGAAUGGAAGAAUAAUUUUUAAGUCUUGGGAAUCUAUGAAUGUUGGGCCCACAAAUGAACCAUUAUAUUUCCUUUUAUGUCAAAUUCCCUUGGUAGCCUCAGUGCAAGCUAUCACAUAAUGUUCAACAGUUCCCGUAAAUCCAUUGCCAAAUGGUCAAUGCGGCGUGCAUAAUAAAAAUGACCUGGAUGGAAGAUGAGUUACACUGUUCAAAUUCCAUUUGGCUGUUGUAAAAUUAUCAUAAUACUUUGAAUACAUUAUGACUAUAAUGAUUGCACUGUAAUUGAACACUUUUCAGGUACUUUUCUCAUGACAUUGACCUAGAUGAAUCAGCCAUGCACACAUGAUCUAAUCAAUCAUGGACAGCAUCCCUGAAUGUUUUCAGAGAAGAUGGAAGUGGAGGGAAAAAAGGGAUUAGUUAAAUCGCAUGUUAUUUGAUUACUGUCGUCUCUGAACUCCUGUAGCAUUUAUAACCCCUGCUGGGUAACGUGUACACAAUGAUCCUAUGGGUUCAGGGUCACAAGGAAAACCUGUGGGACCUCUGAGAGCAAUGGUUAUGCACCAUUGGCAAAGAUCCUGUUCUUUAAUCCUACACUGUUAAUGACCUUCUCAGUACCACAGGGACAGAUCUGUGGUGGGGACUCUUGGGGUUUCAGGAUGAGAUGGCAGAAUACAAAGUACUGUAACAUACAUUUAAUGGUUUAUAAUCAAUAUCUCUUGUGGCCAGACUAAAGUCCUUGAGAAUCAUUCAGUGACUCAAAAUACAAAUAAUUGUGACUAAAAAGAUUAUCCAAAACACACGGUUUUGAAUUCCUUUGCUAAAAGAAAACCCCCAUUUCUGUUCCCUAGAUGAUAAUAUUCAGAUGAGACACUUGUCAUGUCUGUCACCAUAUUCACCAUCACAGAUCAUUUUGACUUUUCCAGUGUUUUUACGUGCUUUAAUCUGUCAUAGCCAUUCAUUUAUUCAAAAAGUGGGUCAAACUCUUAUUGUCAUCUCUUGCACUAUGAUUCACAUUGGCCAUGGAAACUAUAAAAACUAUCUGAGCUAAUAUAAUAUAAGGUGUCUGUUAUCUUUCAACAUAUAGACGCAACCAUAUAUAAUUUCUCUCAUGCUGUAAAUAAAUCAAUAGCUGUAAUUAAAGGAAAAUCAGUUAAAAGGAGGUAACAAUAUUAAGACUUUGUGCCCUACUCACUUCUCUCUGUGGAAGAAAUUCCUGAAUGCUGGGAGAAGGAACAGACGGGGUCUUGGUGGACAAUACCUUGUCAAGUGGAAUAGUCUCGUCUCCAGCUGUGCAAAAAUGUAAUUACUUCGGCAUGUCUCAGAAGACCCAACUCUUUUGUGUUCUGGAGAAGGGAAGAGCCAAACAUGGAAUAGUAAUGUCGAUAUUCAGGCCAUUUAUCAAUCAAAUCUAAUCAUUAAAGCAAUAAUGUAUUCAACAUUUAAAAAUUUUAAAGUUUCUGUUCAGCCCAAUUGUUUGAAGCACAUAUGUUUUAGUAUGUCUUUUUCCCCUCGACCUAGACACUGAAAAUAUGAGUGAAAUUUGAGUCUUAUCCAAAUAUAAACUGAAAUCUAAAGGUGAUGGAAGAUGAGGUGCUUUGGGGGGACCAUCCUUCAUGCUCCAUCUGCUAUGAGAACCCUCUCGAGGUUUGUUGGAGAAAUACUACAUGAUCCAUUGUGUGCCUGCCUUGUUUUCAUCCUUUUCCCAGACAUCCCAUCCAUCUGGUGUUGAGUGGAGGUGGAGAACGGCUCUGGAGUCAGACAAAUCUGGGCUGGAUUCACUCUGGGAUUUUGGGCACGAUAUUACUCAUUAAACAAUGAAGCCUUUUCUUUA